rnacentral:piRNA from 1 species
UGAAAGAGGUGAACUCCACAGAAAGUCUUGU